CUCUCUUUCUCUCUAUUUUCCUCUCCAGUUCAUCCUCCAUUUCUAUGUCAGCUCGAGCCCGAUAUAGUCUAGUACGGGAAUGUACCAACUCAUACCACCAGCCAGCCGACACGGUGCCCGAUUCCAAGUCGAUGAUCCUUGAUCGAUAGUAUAUUGAUAUGUUCAAUAAUGCUCAUAUGUUCACAACUGGGCUGUUUGUAACUGUUAACACAUGCAUAUUUAUAUCAUUUUGCAUUAUCAUAGGAUAGCAGUGUGUAAGUAAAACCAGGGAAACAAUUUCAACAACCAUGCAAAUAUAUCCACAAUCUCAUGUAAAUUUGUCUAUCAUAAUACAUAUGUUUCUGCACUAAGCAAGUACAAAAU
rnacentral:lncRNA from 1 species